UACUAACUGCCUGGUAUUUUUCUUUCCUAUUGUAAAUUUUUUAAAAGAAAUCGUAAAGGUUCUCAACGUGUGUGUUGAGGCCCCUUUGAGGUUGCAGAUCAGAUUUUUACAUUAUGAUUCAUAGCUAGCAAAAUUACAGUCAUGAAGUAGCAACGAAGUAAUUUUAUGGUUGGCUCCACCGUGAGGAACUGUAUUAAAGGCUUAAGUGCUAGCGAUGUCGCUCAGUGGUAUAACAGCUAGCAUAGCUUGACUGAGAUGUUAGUUUCAAUCCCUAAUACUGUAGAAGAAUAACAAAUGUAGCCUGAGCUACAUAGCAAGACCCUGUUUUGAGGGGGGAAAAUAAAACAAAUACGGCUAGCAAGAUGGUUCAGCAGGUAGAAGUGCUUUUGGACAGGCCUGAAAACCUAUGUUUAAUCUCCACAUCCAAACAAUGACAAGUGAGAACUGGCUCCUGUGAGUUGUCUUCUGACCUUUCCGUAUAUGCACACACUCACAGAGACAGGCAGACAACGUAUCUGGGAGUGUGGUGACACUUUCCCCAGUUUGGGCAGCAGAGCAGGAUGAUUAUGUCCUAGAUUUGAGUCCAGCUUGAUGUACAUAGCAAGGGACACAUGGCAGGACUCUGUUGUUUAAGAAAGCAAAGAAAAAAAAGGACUUUUGUACUGUAUACCACCAUGUGCUAGAAACUUAGGGAAUGGUAUAAAUGUCAUGUCCUCAGUAUCAUCUGGAAUUUAUAAGAGUGAAUUCAGUAAAUUGUAAUGUACUAGGGUGUGAUGGAUGGACCUUAUGGUGACAAUAAAGCCCUUGGUAAAUUAGGCAGAUGUGUUGUAUUGGUUGCCCAUGUCAAGCAUUAGUACUAACCCUGAAGCACAGCAUUCAGUAAACGGAUGUAGUGGCUGAGCGUGCACUUGCUAGUAGAUUUGAACAUUGUUUGGGAUGAUACUGGUGACGUCAACAGGAAUUUAAUAGUAGAGUUUCAAAUUCCCCAACCUAGUUGGUAAGCUUAGUGAUUGUAGCAGUAUGGAUGGAAUGUAUACAGAGAAAAUCGUGGAUCUCGUAUGCAGGUGUGGAAGCAGAGGUUCAUGGACUCCCAGAGCUUGGGAAGCUGACCUGGAGGAAAUCAAGUUCAAGGCCUGCUGGGGUUAUAGUAAAGAUACUGCUUAAAACACAAAAGCAAAAAUUCUGCCAGGCUGGGUAUGGUUUAAAAACAAGCCUUUUCUUUUGUCUUUCAGAUUUCCAUAAGACGGCACCCUAUGUGGUUACUGGCAGUGUAGAUCAAACAGUAAAGGUGUGGGAGUGCCGUUGAUUGAGUCACAUUUGGUUCUUCCUCCCUUUUUUCCUCUGGAUGCACUCUGAUGAUACCAUGGUUACCCCAUUUGAGCUCUGUUUAAAUAAAUAUUGUCCUUUCAUGUAAAUUAUUCUGGAUGUAGAUUGAGCUUAUUAAAUGUUACACACAAAGUAUUCAUGCAUGGUGAAUCCAAAUUGUAUACUGUAAAUUUACAUAUGUUGUCUAGAAGUACCAUAGGGGUUAAAAACCUGGGCUGGCAUUGGUCACACCAGGCCUACAAGGGCAGAAGUUGAAUAAAUUGAACUAGGGCACUAAACUGAAUAGUUGACAGUGUCAUUUUAUGUUGGAUUAUUAAUUAUUGUUUUUCUUCCUGCUAUCUGUUGGUGCCUGACUUGAUGGCCUCAUUUUGGGGAAAGUGGUUAUUAGGGCUUUUUCUGAAAUGUGUAUCUAUGUAACAUCACGUAAGUGUGCUUAAUGAAUCUUUAAGGGGGUUAGAUGGUAAGACUACAGUUCAGAGUCUCUUGCUCCAUCUGUGUAAUGGGGAUUACACAUUGAAGUUUUUGUCAUGACCCCUUUGCCAAAUCAAUAGGAUAUGUUUGUUUUGGCACCUAUCAAGCGAAGGCUAGUGGUUUAUUUCUGUAAGAAAAUGAUCGUAAAUCUCAAGAAAAAUCUCAGCAGCUAACUAGUGAAUCCUUUUUCAUUUGGGUCUCACUGCUCUGUAAACAGGUCAGGAGACACUGUCCUACUCUGAGCUUCUCUUCUCCACACUAGACACACAAGUCGUGUUCUCCAUACUGUUGGACUGUAUAGUGAUAUGACUCCCCAGUAGACUUUGAUCUUCCCAUUGAGUGUCAUGGUACAAAUCACUAUGUGUUUAUGAUGUUUUUAGGGAUGUGCAAUGUGCAUGUCAGAAGGACAAAGAGGACAAAGCUGCGUGCACAUUUUAAAGGUGUGGAAGAAACAGUUUCCAACAUGAACCUGGUAACAAUUUGGACUGUUUCACUUACAAGUUAUAAAAAAAGUGACAGGGUUUAUUGAAGCGUGCAUAGAAAUAUACCGGUUUUCUCUUCAUCUUUUGUUUAUAUGUAAAUGUUUAUAAGUAUAUGGGCCUAUCUGUAAGUGGAUAUGUCUAUAUAUGUAUAUCACACACAUACAACCUCCAUGUUGUUGGGUUUUGAGUUUCUGAGGACGUGCUAAAAAAUAAGCCUAGAGUGACUCUUGCUGGGGAAAUAAAUACCAACCACAGCCAUGCUUUAGAAUAAACUCUGUGAUGCUUCUGACUCUAAGGGGCUUUUCUAAGCUGAGAGAAAGUCACUUUAUUCUCCCCUCUAAUGGGCCAUUCACCAUUUUACACAUUCCUGAUAGGCUGUAUAUUUUGGUCCAGAGUUACUACAGUAGGUUUAAGAGAAUUUUUGGAACACUAUUCCAUUGUCAAUUGUUAAUAAAGAAUUUAUCGCCUAGGUAACCAACUUUUUUUUUCUUUUUAAGAAAAUCAAUUUGAAAAGUUAACAGCAACAGUGACAUACAUAACAAUGACAGUCUAACAAUGGUAAUUCUUUUCUGGACUGUAUUUUAUUCGUUUGUAUAAUAGAGGAUUUUUUUAAAAUGUCCCUUUAAGUAUUGAAUGGAAAUUUGAUUCCUGAAAGGACAAAGGGUGAGAAUUAAUGUCCUGUAGAUAAACACAAGAGAUUAGGCUGUAGCAGCAGCAGCUUACUGUCUAGCCUGUGUCCUUUUCGUUUGUUCACCUGUUUGGUCUUAAUAUUCCUCAGAUUUCUCUAGAAAGGAAAAGUGUUUUGAGAAGUAAGUGGCUAUUUUUGAGGACAAAACUCCAUCAUGAUUCCGUAAACACUGUAGGUUAGCUUUUAGGACAACAUUGCCUCACAGCCUUGCUUACAUUGAGAAGUCUUUUUCUCCUAGCCGUUCUGACUGGAUUUUUCUCCAAAAGCUAUGGAAAAUAUCUUUGUUCUCAUUUGCUGCUAUUUCCUGUCCUAUUUCAAGAAUAUAAAUACAUAGAAAUGGUGCAUCUUAACAUUUGUUUGUAUGUGUUAAAAUGUCUUGUCUUUUAAUUCAGUUUUAGCAUGUAGCAACAUGAAUUGUUUAAGGGUAAGCCACAACAUCUAGACAUCAUUCAUAGAAACAAUAAAGAAUGGUACCAAUGUAGAGGAGCAACCUGGGUUUCCUCCCCUGAAGCAGUGACUCUGACAACGGAGGAGGGAGUGCUCUGUAACAAAGCUGUCCUCACUUGGGAGAUUGCCACAGCCUGCUGCUUAGCUGAGUUACCAGACAUCCUCCACCUAAGCAGCAGCAAACAUUGAAUCUCAGGGAUGGUCCACAGCUGGAUCCAAACAUAACGAGCCCUGUUUGAAUAAUGAAGGGUGGCGGGGCAACAUCCACAUCUGGCAUCGGAUUUGCAAAGGUUUCUUGCACUGUUGUUUGACACUGCCCUGUUGAUGCCCUUACUCUUACGUUACUGUUUUCUCUGUCUGCUGUCUAACCCUGUGCCUUGCCUGGGAUAAGGACAAUGAUAAAGUUACUGGUUUUGGUUGUAAGUAGAGGACUUUAUCAAUUGGUUAGCGGUUCACUGCUGCUUUGUUACUUUCUUGAGUCAGAUUGGCUGCUUAUUAAGAAAUAAAAAGCUGAUAGAAUUGUGUACUUGGAUGAUUGUUGAUUGUGUGUGUAAACAGACAUUCCAGUGCCACCUAUAGCACAGCGUGCCCAACAAGUCCUAACCGCAUGGAGAGUGCAAGCUGCAGAGGUUUGUGUAGGCGUGACCUGGAGAAUAGUUGCUUUUGACAUGACAUCUUGCACUUUAGGAGACUAAGACCGUCCUGUUUUGUCUGCAUGUGGUGUGACCAAUGGUGUGCUCAGAGCACUACCCACAAUCACUAGUGUUAGCAAGCCGUCCCGGGCCGUGAUGCACUAUUAGUCCUUUGGAAGCUUUGGCUUUAGGCUCACCAAGCCCAGUCUCCUGUUUGCCUCUUUCUGUUCUUUGUGAACUUCCGAUAAUACCACUCACUAAAGUUUAUUUUUUUUGUUUGUUUUUUAAUUUAAAGAAAAACUAUUUAAAAAUAAGGACAUUUUGUUUGUUGACAGUGGUGACUUGAUAAUCCUUAAGCAACAAGUUGAAAUAGAAGGAAAAGGCACUUAAAAUGGUUAUUCUUCCUGUCCAGCUGUAUAUAAACCCAAUGUGUUGGUUAAUCUAGAUGGUGCAAAGGAUGUCAUGGUAGACAAGCAACAUGGGCAGAAUGGGAAGAAAGGUUUUGGGUUUUUCCAGUGGGCUGGGUUGGGUGGGAUGGGGUAAGCUGGACUCACAAGUCACGACUGAAACGGGCCUUUUUAUCCUUUCACUGUAUCAUGUAAGUAGCUGCUUUCUCGCCUGCUUAUCCUAAAGGCAUCCCCAAAGCUCACUCUGAAGAUGUUAGAAAUAAACACAAACUCUACGAGUUAGAAGUCGAUCCUGACACUGACAUGAAGGCAAGCAUUGAUUUCAUAUGAACGUUGCAGAGGUGGUAAUUGGAAAAAACAGUUCCCCAGAUUGUAAGAGUUCACUGAAGAUAUCGACACAAUUUUAAAAAUCAGUAAAGGAAUGUAUAUAAUAUUGCUCUUGUGUUUUACAGUAAGAUUUGUUGCUCUCAGACUGUGUAAAACAAAAUUUAUUCAUGUUUUCUGCAUAUUAAAAAUCUUAUUGUACCAAUUGGUAAACUAUUAAAUGCCUAUAAAACUAG
rnacentral:lncRNA from 1 species